UUAAGUAACUUGUUGCCUAUGUGGAUAGGCAAAAGGGGAAAUUACAGUGUGGCUCAUUACCAAGAGGGAAGAUUCUUCUGAUCAAAUAUAUGCAGACUGGGCAGAGAAGUAGAUCCAACGAGAAGAAACACAACACAGCAAUGGAGAAUUCAGGGACGCAUCAUCUUUGGUUCCACAUAUCCACGUAAGGCAGGGAGAAGUGUCCUUCUAAGGGAUGCCCUGGGGAGAUUUGACAGACAGAAGAGGAGAAAGCAAUGUGACCAUGGAGACAGAAGCUUGAGCACAAGCCAAGGCUGUCAACAAACACCGGACAUUGGACAAGUAUCUGCCUGGAAUCCUGUUGCCUAGAGACCAAUCCUGAAGAACAUUCACGGCCAUGGCCUCUUGGAGAUUUAAGACUUCUAAUGAGGAGCUGACAGAAAUCAUCAGCCUGUUCCCCAUCAAGUAUGAAAGAAGAAACGGAGGUAGGGUUGCAUCAAGGAACUAUUUCUUCUUGAUAGAAGUAUAAAAUCAAGGUUCUGCCCACUUCUACUCCAUCCUCGCCUUCGUUUACUCUUUCUUGAGUUAAUACCAGUCUUUCUGGCCACUGGGAUUCUUCAGAAUGAAGCAGAUGCAUGAAAUAGAAGAAGUGGCACUGGAGGUGGACCAUGCCUCUUUAUCUUAUCCCACUUGCAAAGCCAAGCACUGCUGUCAGAUAAACCUAAUUAUUUCCCAGAAGUGGUUUGCAACUGGAAGAAAAAUGAAGCAGAAAAUGUAUUCAUCUAUGAGCCCUCAGGUCCUGCCCAACGGCAUCACUGAAUCUUGGUGUCUCAAUACCCACACUGCUCGCAUACCACCAUGCUGAAGACGCUGAAUCUUUAACAAGGAAGCGCAGAUUUCAGAUAAGAGGAAGGGACACCCGAGCUUCCUCUCUCUGCCAUAUGAGGACACAGCGGGAAGACAGCUCCCUGAAACACAGGAAGGAUGUCCUUGUCAAGAACCGAAUCUAUCAGCACUUUGAUCUUGGACUUCCCAACCUCCAGAACUGAUAUACGCAAUGAGUAAUGUGAUAAGAAAGAGACUGUGAUUCUUAUUGGUGGCAAAGUCACAGGGGCUGCUGAUACCACUGUGGUUUCUUACCUACAUUAAGAAAUGACAGAAAUGCUACUGGGUUCAGAGAUCUGUGCAAAGGCGUAAAAAGAGCAUUCCUCCUGUUACCUGGUGACCAACUUGUUGCAGGACUAAGAAGUUGCAGCACUGAAGGUCCUGCAUCCCAGGAAACCCCUCGGUUCUGGCCAAUCCUGAAAUUCAUGUGUCCAUUUCUCUCCCCCUCAUAUCUACACAUUUACCACCUGUGCAUGUCUCUGAGAUGCGAAAUGGGCACAAAACACACUGCGAUGUCAUUAGGGGACAGAGAAAUGGGCCAGGAGCCAGAGCACCAAAGAAUCACGGAGUUGGAGUUUCCGUCGUGGCACAACAGAAAUGAAUCUGACUAGGAACCAUGAGGUUGUGGGUUUUAUCCCUGGCCUUGCUCAGUGGGUUAAGGAUUGGGC